AGAUUAAGUUAUUAAGGGCGCACGGUGGAUGCCUUGGCACUAGAAGCCGAUGAAGGACGUUACUAACGACGAUAUGCUUUGGGGAGCUGUAAGUAAGCUUUGAUCCAGAGAUUUCCGAAUGGGGAAACCCAGCAUGAGUUAUGUCAUGUUAUCGAUAUGUGAAUACAUAGCAUAUCAGAAGGCACACCCGGAGAACUGAAACAUCUUAGUACCCGGAGGAAGAGAAAGAAAAUUCGAUUCCCUUAGUAGCGGCGAGCGAAACGGGAAGAGCCCAAACCAACAAGCUUGCUUGUUGGGGUUGUAGGACACUCUAUACGGAGUUACAAAGGACGACAUUAGACGAAUCAUCUGGAAAGAUGAAUCAAAGAAGGUAAUAAUCCUGUAGUCGAAAAUGUUGUCUCUCUUGAGUGGAUCCUGAGUACGACGGAGCACGUGAAAUUCCGUCGGAAUCUGGGAGGACCAUCUCCUAAGGCUAAAUACUCUCUAGUGACCGAUAGUGAACCAGUACCGUGAGGGAAAGGUGAAAAGCACCCCGGAAGGGGAGUGAAAUAGAACCUGAAACCGUGUGCUUACAAGUAGUCAGAGCCCGUUAAUGGGUGAUGGCGUGCCUUUUGUAGAAUGAACCGGCGAGUUACGAUUUGAUGCAAGGUUAAGCAGUAAAUGUGGAGCCGUAGCGAAAGCGAGUCUGAAUAGGGCGUUUAGUAUUUGGUCGUAGACCCGAAACCAGGUGAUCUACCCUUGGUCAGGUUGAAGUUCAGGUAACACUGAAUGGAGGACCGAACCGACUUACGUUGAAAAGUGAGCGGAUGAACUGAGGGUAGCGGAGAAAUUCCAAUCGAACCUGGAGAUAGCUGGUUCUCUCCGAAAUAGCUUUAGGGCUAGCCUCAAGUGAUGAUUAUUGGAGGUAGAGCACUGUUUGGACGAGGGGCCCCUCUCGGGUUACCGAAUUCAGACAAACUCCGAAUGCCAAUUAAUUUAACUUGGGAGUCAGAACAUGGGUGAUAAGGUCCAUGUUCGAAAGGGAAACAGCCCAGACCACCAGCUAAGGUCCCAAAAUAUAUGUUAAGUGGAAAAGGAUGUGGCGUUGCCCAGACAACUAGGAUGUUGGCUUAGAAGCAGCCAUCAUUUAAAGAGUGCGUAAUAGCUCACUAGUCGAGUGACACUGCGCCGAAAAUGUACCGGGGCUAAACAUAUUACCGAAGCUGUGGAUUGUCCUUUGGACAAUGGUAGGAGAGCGUUCUAAGGGCGUUGAAGCAUGAUCGUAAGGACAUGUGGAGCGCUUAGAAGUGAGAAUGCCGGUGUGAGUAGCGAAAGAUGGGUGAGAAUCCCGUCCACCGAUUGACUAAGGUUUCCAGAGGAAGGCUCGUCCGCUCUGGGUUAGUCGGGUCCUAAGCUGAGGCCGACAGGCGUAGGCGAUGGAUAACAGGUUGAUAUUCCUGUACCACCUAUAAUCGUUUUAAUCGAUGGGGGGACGCAGUAGGAUAGGCGAAGCGUGCGAUUGGAUUGCACGUCUAAGCAGUAAGGCUGAGUAUUAGGCAAAUCCGGUACUCGUUAAGGCUGAGCUGUGAUGGGGAGAAGACAUUGUGUCUUCGAGUCGUUGAUUUCACACUGCCGAGAAAAGCCUCUAGAUAGAAAAUAGGUGCCCGUACCGCAAACCGACACAGGUAGUCAAGAUGAGAAUUCUAAGGUGAGCGAGCGAACUCUCGUUAAGGAACUCGGCAAAAUGACCCCGUAACUUCGGGAGAAGGGGUGCUCUUUAGGGUUAACGCCCAGAAGAGCCGCAGUGAAUAGGCCCAAGCGACUGUUUAUCAAAAACACAGGUCUCUGCUAAACCGUAAGGUGAUGUAUAGGGGCUGACGCCUGCCCGGUGCUGGAAGGUUAAGAGGAGUGGUUAGCUUCUGCGAAGCUACGAAUCGAAGCCCCAGUAAACGGCGGCCGUAACUAUAACGGUCCUAAGGUAGCGAAAUUCCUUGUCGGGUAAGUUCCGACCCGCACGAAAGGCGUAACGAUUUGGGCACUGUCUCAACGAGAGACUCGGUGAAAUCAUAGUACCUGUGAAGAUGCAGGUUACCCGCGACAGGACGGAAAGACCCCGUGGAGCUUUACUGUAGCCUGAUAUUGAAAUUCGGCACAGCUUGUACAGGAUAGGUAGGAGCCUUUGAAACGUGAGCGCUAGCUUACGUGGAGGCGCUGGUGGGAUACUACCCUAGCUGUGUUGGCUUUCUAACCCGCACCACUUAUCGUGGUGGGAGACAGUGUCAGGCGGGCAGUUUGACUGGGGCGGUCGCCUCCUAAAAGGUAACGGAGGCGCUCAAAGGUUUCCUCAGAAUGGUUGGAAAUCAUUCAUAGAGUGUAAAGGCAUAAGGGAGCUUGACUGCGAGACCUACAAGUCGAGCAGGGUCGAAAGACGGACUUAGUGAUCCGGUGGUUCCGCAUGGAAGGGCCAUCGCUCAACGGAUAAAAGCUACCCCGGGGAUAACAGGCUUAUCUCCCCCAAGAGUUCACAUCGACGGGGAGGUUUGGCACCUCGAUGUCGGCUCAUCGCAUCCUGGGGCUGUAGUCGGUCCCAAGGGUUGGGCUGUUCGCCCAUUAAAGCGGUACGCGAGCUGGGUUCAGAACGUCGUGAGACAGUUCGGUCCCUAUCCGUCGUGGGCGUAGGAAAUUUGAGAGGAGCUGUCCUUAGUACGAGAGGACCGGGAUGGACAUACCUCUGGUGUACCAGUUGUCGUGCCAACGGCAUAGCUGGGUAGCUAUGUGUGGACGGGAUAAGUGCUGAAAGCAUCUAAGCAUGAAGCCCCCCUCAAGAUGAGAUUUCCCAACUUCGGUUAUAAGAUCCCUCAAAGAUGAUGAGGUUAAUAGGUUCGAGGUGGAAGCAUGGUGACAUGUGGAGCUGACGAAUACUAAUCGAUCGAAGACUUAAUCAAAUU
rnacentral:rRNA from 1 species